UAGAUCUUUCGAUAGUUCCCUUCGAAGAGGUUUAAGAAGACGGUAAUAAUAAACUGGAUCAAAUUUAAACUCGUCACUCUCCAUUCCAAUCCACCCGUGAAAUAAACGAGUCGAAAAAACCGGUAUCCGUAUAAUAAUACCUAUACCUCACUUUCAUUCCUCUAUUUAACACGAGAGAAAAGAAUCUCCUGUAACGAUCCCAUCGACCUUGCAAUUUUUAUUCCACCGAGGACAAUUUAGAGGAACGCGAUAAACUAAAUUUAAACUCGUCAUCCUCUCUAUCUCUCUUUAUUCCACGCGCACACACACACACACACACUCGGUCGUAAUUUCAACACCCUUUCGAAUUCCCUUUUUCGAAUCGUUUCGAAAUAUAACAUUCCUGAACGGUGAGUUAUUAUCGAAUUUGUUCAUUGAAAUUAUUGAAUUUAUUACGAUUGGUCAGAGAAAUUGUCCUCGAAUUUGUUCAAGAACCGAUCGAAACGUGGAGCGUGGCGCUAGGAUCGGAUUGGAAACGGUAAAAGUUGGCGUGCGCGCGCGCUCACACCCGCGUAUUAUGUCAGAUUUCAAGCUUGUUACGUAACCCGUCCCGUAAGCGAGUUAACGAGCGAGCGGCGCGUUCCAGGGCCGUGCCUAUCACCUCCUGCCGCCCUCCCCCCUUUCGUCUCGCCUGAAUUUUCCUCGCCUCUCCACACGCUCCACACGCCGGCCGUUCGAUAAAUCUGGGUUAGAUAGAGAUGCAAGUUUGUCAAUUUUUAAGCGUGGCUUGGAUCGAUAUAGAUUCUUUCUUCGAGAAAGAGAGGAUUCGGAAAUUUUCGUUUUUCGUUUCUCGGGGAUCGAACGAUCUUUCUUUGUUCGUUAAUUUUGCACCGGAAAAGAAAGAUUUUCUUAAUUAUUAAUUUUACGCGUGAAAAAUCUAUAAUUAAUGCUCAAGGAUCGAUAAUGAUAAUAAUAAGCUUAGCAUUUUUAAUCGAUCGACCGACAUUCGAAAAAGAAUAAUAAUAAAUUCACAGGAAUCAAGAGAGUCUCGACGAUUGCAAUCGGUUUCGAUUCUGCGAAAAUGCGAAUGGUAGGAUUCCCGUAAACUUUUUUGAUUUAUAGCAAGAUAGAAUCGCUUAUCUCGGUUUCAUUUCGAAUAUCAUAGAAGACGAAGCAUCCUUGGACACGAGGUCGGAACAUGAAUAAUUGCUAUUCGAAAGAGAUGGAACGGAAUCGAGUCGUGUCGAACGGAGAAUUGUGUCGUCGCGUUUCAUGACAUACGAAUCUCAUACGAAUUAUCCUUUUAUCGUUGUUGGAAAAAAAAAAAUAAAAAAAUAAAAAAUAAGAAAACAAUCGAGAAACAAAGACAAGUACUCUUCUUGGAAAACUCGUUCGUAUCGGCUGAUGAUUCAUUCGUUCGAAAAAAAGAAAAAACAUUUCGACUAUUUCUUGCGAAAUCGUUCGGACGUGAAACGUUAUUGCAACGUAUCCUGCGACGACGCAACGAGCGUUGUCCAGAUAAAGGAAUCAACCUCUCGGCUGGACAUCGCGUAGAAAACGAUUCAAUGAAGGCUGACGGUCGAUUACUUCCGAUACUCCACGAUAGGGGGCCGACUGUCGAAACUGACCGUCCACUCCCCUCCACUCUUUCGCGAAGUGAUGCGAAUAACACGUGAAAUUGCCUCUCAUCGGCCAUCUCGAGAUGAUCGAGAUAUACGUAUAUUCUGGCAAUUUUUAUCUUCUCCGAAUCUCCUAUUGGCGAUUUAAUUUAAUUUUAGAACGAGAUCUCCGUGAAAUGUAAAUGAAAACGUAACACGAGAUGGAAAAACGAGGGAAUAACAUUUCUAAUAAGGAUAUAAACUCGCAAGAUUCGUCAAAGAGCUGAACGCUCCUGAACCGUUUCCCUGCAGGUACUGCAGAGCGCUAGAUUUGUAUCGAGCAGCGUGGGCGGCAACCUCGCCCCGUUUUUGAACCUAAGCUAAAUUUGCGAUAACGAACGGGCCCACCGUGGGAAUUAUCGACAGAAAGUCCAAACAAAGUCUCGAGACGAGACGGUUUGGAAAGGAGAAAAAGGAAGAAGUGAGAAGUGGAAAAAUGUAUUGGAAGACGUCAUCGAACUGAUAAAACUGCUUUAUCGAGUGCCGCAGCGGGCUGGACGGACGUUUAUCGCGAGCUGAACUUCGCGGAUUCGCUAUUUUAAUCCGUGGCAGUGAUGUAACUGUAUGCAUAAUAGUGGUAGCCGAGGUUAAAUAUAGAGGAUAUAUAGAAUAUACGCACACACGUAUCGAGAAGCGUAAUUGCGCGAAUCGAUCGAUACCUGCGCAAACUAGCGGCGCCGUGACAAAACGAGUCUUUUCUCCCUUCUUAUUAUCGUUUCAGAGAGAGACUUUAUUAUUCCUUCCCCCCUCCUCCCACUUUUCCUCGCGAAAUUACUCGAGAACAAGAUUCGUUCGUUCGAUUUUACGAUAUCCCAUAUGCGAGGGAGAAAAAUUUUCCUUUCGAAAAAAAAUUCGGCAAUUAUCGUGGAAUAACGAGGGUCACGUUGUAACGCGCAGGGAGCCGGGCGCGAUGACGCAAAGCAAAGAGAACUAACUAUCCGCGGUAAUGAUAUCUGGCCGGGAGAGGUGCAGUUAGGAGUUGGUAAUAGCCAGCGCUUACGUAACCGCGCGCCAGGUAAAAGCGGUAAUUUAUUCCUAACUAGUUAAUUGGCCGAGCGUAAUUCCACACACAAUCAGGCUAUCCUAAUUACGAGCGCGAGUCCUUCGAGCGAGGGGGGAGGGGGAGAAGGGUCGUUAAUAAUCGAAAUAUUUUGACGAAAUAUUGCGCGGGAUAUCCUUUCGGAAGAAAAAGAAAUACGAAAAUACGUUCAUCGAUGAUAUUUCCUUUGUUCGAACGCUCGAAAUCGGGAAGGAUCCUUCGCGAGAAUUUUUAAUUCUCGGGCAUCGCAGCCGUGUUUGUUUAACAAGAGUCUAGACUACGGGGAACGCGAAAAUAUCCGCUCCGUGUUUUGAUAAGAGGAUGCGCGGUCGUCGAACCGCAAGGAUCGCGCGAGGUGGUCAAACAAUGCCAGCGCCGCGACGGGAAAAGCCGAAACCCGCUCACGCGAUCCUCCUCCGAGUUCUAAUUUCGAGCGAAUUCUUGCGAAAUCGAACGUACUCGCUCGCCGAAAAUACUUGCCUCGAAUACGUGCACGUGAAAUUUGCCUCGACGAAUUUUAUUUUCGUUGAAACACGCCGCACCGCUCUGUCAUCGUGAAAUUGCAUCAGUUUCUUUUUUAUUUUCGUUGAAACUAUGUCCCACGAAUAUCACUCAAUAUCCCCGUUUCACAAUUUUCGAUUUCGGGAUAUCCUCCUCCUCCGCUUCGAAGAGGAUAAAAAUCAGGGCGGGGAAACUCGGUUGUCCCACGCGGAAAACGGGCGGAGCCUGGAUCGAAUCGCACGAAAAAUCUCCGAGACGAGAAUCGUGGGCGAGCCACGCACAACGCAACUUUCUAUAUUUAAAUGGCCGCGCUGAUAUUAUUGCUAACGGGAGGCGUAAAUAGAGAUUGCGCAACGUGAUGCAAUCUUUAUCGGUCCCGCGCGAGGGAACCGAGGGGGGAAGGAUGUUAAGCUUAACGAGAUCGAAAUCGAGAUCGCUCGGACGGAAUCAAUUCUCAAUGAUCCGUCUCUCCGUCCGUUCCCCUGCUCUAGAGAUAUGAUUGUUUCUCCUCGUCUCUCUCGAGAAAUUAAAUGUUCGAUAAAAAUUAUAUUUUAUCGUGUGUUACUAUUCCAUAAAUUCUUAUAAAUAAAGGGACGAGAAUUUGGACGA